rnacentral:rRNA from 2 species
AAAACGACUCUCGGCAACGGAUAUCUCGGCUCUCGCAUCGAUGAAGAACGUAGCGAACUGCGAUACUUGGUGUGAAUUGCAGAAUCCUGUGAACCAUCGAGUCUUUGAACGCAAGUUGCGCCCGAAGCCAUUAGGCCGAGGGCACGUCUGCCUGGGCGUCACGC